rnacentral:rRNA from 1 species
UCCUACGGGGGGCAGCAGUGGGGAAUAUUGGGCAAUGGAGGAAACUCUUACCCAGCAAUGCCGCGUGAAUGAAGAAGGUCUUCGGAUUGUAAAGUUCUUUAAUUGGGGACGAAAAAAAUGACGGUACCCAAGGAAUAAGCCCCGGCUAACUACGUGCCAGCAGCCGCGGUAAUACGGAGGAUGCGAGCGUUAUCCGGAUUUAUUGGGUUUAAAGGGUGCGUAGGCGGACUGGAAAGUCAGCGGUAAAAUCGAGAGGCUCAACCUCUUUCCGCCGUUGAAACUGUCGGUCUUGAGUGGGCGAGAAG